rnacentral:rRNA from 1 species
UACGUAGGGGGCAAGCGUUGUCCGGAUUUACUGGGUGUAAAGGGCGCGCAGGUGGGCUUGAUAGUUAGAGGUGAAAUCCUGUGGCUUAACUGCAGAACUGCCUUUAAUACUUCAAGUCUUGAGUGCGGAAGAGAGAGACGGAAUUCCAGGUGUAGUAGUGAAAUACGUAGAUAUCUGGAAGAACACCAGUUGCGAAGGCGGUCUCUUGGUCCGUAACUGACACUUAGGCGCGAAAGCGUGGGGAGCACACAGG